rnacentral:rRNA from 1 species
GGAAUAUUGGACAAUGGGGGCAACCCUGAUCCAGCGAUGCCGCGUGGGUGAAGAAGGCCUUCGGGUUGUAAAGCCCUUUAGGUUGGGAAGAAAGUUGGUAGUUUAAGAGAUAAUCAACGUGACGGUACCGACAGAAUAAGCACCGGCAAACUCUGUGCCAGCAGCCGCGGUAAUACAGAGGGUGCAAGCGUUAAUCGGAGUUACUGGGCGUAAAGGGCGCGUAGGCGGUUAUAUGAGUGUGAUGUGAAAGCCCUGGGCUUAACCUAGGAAGUGCAUCGCAAACGAUAUAACUGGAGUAGAUGAGAGGGUGGCGGAAUUUCCGGUGUAGCGGUGAAAUGCGUAGAGAUCGGAAGGAACGUCGAUGGCGAAGGCAGCCACCUGGCAUCAUACUGACGCUGAGGCGCGAGAGCAUGGGGAGCG